rnacentral:rRNA from 1 species
CUAGUAAUCGCGCAUCAGCCAUGGCGCGGUGAAUACGUUCCCGGGCCUUGUACACACCGCCCGUCAAGCCAUGGGAGCCGGGGGCGCCUGAAGUCCGGGACCGCGAGGACCGGCCUAGGGCGAAACUGGUGACUGGGGCUAAGUCGUAACAAGGUACC